GAGAGGCCCAGAGCAGUAAGGACUGCUAAUCCACACCCCCAUGGUUAA
rnacentral:tRNA from 1 species